CUUGCUUCUCUUGAGAGCGGCGGACGGGUGAGUAAUGCCUAGGAAUCUGCCUGGUAGUGGGGGAUAACGUUCGGAAACGGACGCUAAUACCGCAUACGUCCUACGGGAGAAAGCAGGGGACCUUCGGGCCUUGCGCUAUCAGAUGAGCCUAGGUCGGAUUAGCUAGUUGGUGGGGUAAUGGCUCACCAAGGCGACGAUCCGUAACUGGUCUGAGAGGAUGAUCAGUCACACUGGAACUGAGACACGGUCCAGACUCCUACGGGAGGCAGCAGUGGGGAAUAUUGGACAAUGGGCGAAAGCCUGAUCCAGCCAUGCCGCGUGUGUGAAGAAGGUCUUCGGAUUGUAAAGCACUUUAAGUUGGGAGGAAGGGUUGUAGAUUAAUACUCUGCAAUUUUGACGUUACCGACAGAAUAAGCACCGGCUAACUCUGUGCCAGCAGCCGCGGUAAUACAGAGGGUGCAAGCGUUAAUCGGAAUUACUGGGCGUAAAGCGCGCGUAGGUGGUUUGUUAAGUUGGAUGUGAAAUCCCCGGGCUCAACCUGGGAACUGCAUUCAAAACUGACUGACUAGAGUAUGGUAGAGGGUGGUGGAAUUUCCUGUGUAGCGGUGAAAUGCGUAGAUAUAGGAAGGAACACCAGUGGCGAAGGCGACCACCUGGACUAAUACUGACACUGAGUGCGAAAGC
rnacentral:rRNA from 1 species